GUAUUCGUUUCGGCAGCACAUAUACUAAAAUUGGAACGAUACAGAGAAGAUUAGCAUGGCCCCUGAGCAAGGAUGACACGCAAAUACCCUGUUCCACCAGACACAUGGUU